UACGUAGGGUCCGAGCGUUGUCCGGAAUUAUUGGGCGUAAAGGGCUCGUAGGCGGUUUGUCGCGUCGGGAGUGAAAACACGGGGCUUAACCCCGUGCCUGCUUCCGAUACGGGCAGACUAGAGGUAUGCAGGGGAGAACGGAAUUCCUGGUGUAGCGGUGAAAUGCGCAGAUAUCAGGAGGAACACCAGCGGCGAAGGCGGCGCUCUGGGCCGGUACUGACGCUGAGGAGCGAAAGCGUGGGUAGCAAACAGG
rnacentral:rRNA from 1 species